ensembl:snRNA U6 U6 spliceosomal RNA
GGGCUCACUUUGGCAGCACAUAUACUAAAAUCGGAAUGAUACAUGGAAGAUUAGCACGGCCCUGCACAAGGAUGAUAUGCAAAUUUGUAAUGUGUUCCAUGUUUUU